GACGGAGGAUGCAAGUGUUAUCCGGAAUCACUGGGCGUAAAGCGUCUGUAGGUGGUUCGAAAAGUCCACUGUUAAAAAUUGAAGCUUAGCUUCAAAGAUGCCGUGGAAGCUUUCAAACUAGAGUGUGGUAGGGGUAGAGGGAAUUUCCAGUGGAGCGGUGAAAUGCGUAGAUAUUGGAAAGACCACCGAUGGCGAAGGCACUCUACUGGGCCAUUACUGACACUGAGAGACGAAAGCUAGGGGAGCAAAUGGG
rnacentral:rRNA from 1 species